rnacentral:rRNA from 1 species
UACGAGUGCCCCAAGCGUUAUCCGGAAUCAUUGGGCGUAAAGGGUGUGUAGGUGGCGAUGUUAGUCUUCUGUUAAAACCCCGGGCUUAACCCGGGAUCUGCAGGGGAAACGGCAUUGCUCGAGGGUGCGAGGGGUGAAUGGAACUCAUGGAGUAGGGGUGAAAUCCGUUGAUAUCAUGGGGAACACCAAAAGCGAAGGCAAUUCACUGGCGCAUUCCGUGACACUGAAACACGAAAGCGUGGGUGAGCGAACGGGG